AGUUGAGCACGACCACCCCAUGCUGACUACUCCCAGUAACCCUCUUCUCUUCCAAAAUGCUCAGGUCAUAAGUGUAUUGGUGUAGUGAUAUGGUUAUUUCUCUCCCUUUCUCUCUUCUUGAAUUUAAAACAGUAUAUUUGUAUCAGAGGGAAGAGGAAAAAAAAAGCCAUAAGAAUAUAUUUGCACUGUUUGCAAGUGAUCAUGAUUGAAGUGCAGUGCAGGCACACUCGUAUUUAACUGGCAAGAUUGUAAGGGAUGCACAAUGCUCCCAAAAGAGUCUGUACCUUAUUCAUGUCAACCUAUUAAUUCCUAAGGGAAAGGGGCAAAGAGGUUAUACUGGCUCCUCAAAUAUGCUCUGCUGCUCAAAGUUUUCCAUGGAAAUAAGAGGAGGCAUUACUUUUGGAGCAACCUAUGUAGAUUCUGUUCUUUGUAACAUGAAGGUGCCAGUAAUUCAACCAGGAAUUCAGAAAAAUGAAAGUUUGUGCUUUGUGGUAUACCUCACAUACUCUGAUGUCCUGAAAAUCUGGACUGGUGGGUGACUGGCAGAAGAGCAACUGCAAACACAGAUACAAGUAGUGCAGCCAGAUCCAGUAUUUCACUUCAAAAUGCACUGGACUGUCCUAUCCCCAGAUCCAGUUUUCUGUUCAACGUGAAAUGUUGAGUGUGUUUGCUGUUAUAAGGAUAUACAUAGUCAAGGGGAAGACUCUCAUGCAGAACAAAAAUGUGAGAUUUUACAGUGCAAAACAGUACAUGUGUGUCAGUCAUGGUAAAACUGAAAACUACACACAGCAUGAAUAAAUUAAUCAUGCCAUAUUCUGAAUGUGUGAUUUAAGAAUUGCACUGCAUGUCCACAACACAGAGCUGGCAGUGGGGCCGCAGGCUGCAUUGUGAGGUGUGGCCAGGGCUGCCCUCUGCUGCACCGUCAGUUCCUGCUGCACAUAUGCCAAGAUUGUACCACUGGGAAACAUAUUAGAAGUGUAGAAAACAAACAACAGUGUUUGAGAGGGGAGUGAGGGAAGAAAAAGUAUGAGCAACAAUCCUGUAGACACCAAGGCCAGAAAAGAAAAGGGAAGAGGUGCUCUAGGCAUCAGAACAGAGAUGUCCCUGCAGCGUGUAGAGGAGACCAUGAUGGAACAGGUUUAUCCUGAAGAACUGCAGCCUGUGAAGGGCCCAUGCUGGAGCAGAUGAACACCGUAAGAGGGAAGGAGCAGUAGAGAGACACAGCCACGUACUGACUACAUCCUCCCAUGCCCUUCCUGUGCUGAAGGAGGGCAAAUGCUAAAACUUGUUACAAAUUCUAGAAAUACUAGUUGAGUAAUUAUGUCAUGUAAGCAAAAACAAGACAACAACAACAAAACAAACAAAACAAUCGAAAACUCAUUCCAGUCCCAACUGCCUGUUUUGCUGUUUCUGAGUUUGUCUAGCUGAAAUGAGAUGACAAUGCUUGGUGCAUGAGUAAAAAAGAGGGGCAUGAAAUCUAGUUCUUCUACUCACAAUUUCUUUUCUUGAGAGUUAAAUCAUACAAUAUACAAUACCAUAUACAGUAGAAUUUACAAUAGCAUAUUACCUGGUCAUAGAACUUCACUAACAAGCUUCCUAUCAUAUACAACAAGUUCUGACAACCGAGAUUCCUAAUUUGGCAGCACUAACGGGGCUUUUGGUCUAUAAUUUUUGUUAUGUUCUAUACAUGAUGUUGUGAAAAUCUUUCUGAUAUGACAACUGUCUUUCGUAGGAGAGACUUGGGAUAACUGCAUUUGCUAAAGUCACAAAAAUAAAUUUAAACCAUAAUUUUCUUUAAAUUAUUCUUCCAAGAAUUCUGUCCGGAUAUUUUUGUCCUGAGAAAACUCCAUAGUCUACAUGAAAAAAAAACAAACAAAAAAACACCCAACCAAGCUAGCAAACAAAGACAACAGCUUUUAAUGUGUCAAUUAAGUUCCUA